rnacentral:lncRNA from 1 species
ACAGAACAGAAGACGCCAUGAAUUGAAAGAGCAUUAUUGCCAUCAACCGACCAAUAAUCAAAUCCAUCUGAGACUCUGUACCAAAUCCUUAUCUCUUGUUUUUUGCCUUUCCGUUUUGUGUGAAUGCGUGAUCCAAGACAUAUACGUACCUCACCAUCGUCAUGUAUAUAACAACCUCCACCUCAGCAGCUUCUUCACUCCUCAGAGCUUCUUCUAGGUCACGAUUCGUCUCUUCGCUAUCUUCAUUUAAGUCCUUACCUGCACGUUCUCUUUCUCCUUCUCCUUCUCCUUCUCCUUCAUCGUUGGUCUCUCAGCGAUCUCUCGGCUUCGCCUCGGCCGUUCGAUCCUUCCGCUGCUCCGUCCCUCGCUGGAGCCACCGCGUUGACUGGCGCUCUCCGCUUAGUCUUCGCGCUCAGAUCAGAACCGUUGCUCCUGCCAUCGAACGGCUCGAACGCGCCUUUGCUACUAUGGGUACUGUUUUUCACUUCCGACUUUUCUGGAGUUGUUUUGAUCAGCUUAGUUAGAAUGAAGUAAUUCAAAAACUUUGUUAAAUUGAAUAAAGUUGUUAGAUUUAACUAUAAGUUAAGUCCGCGCUUUAGCUUCUUCAGGUCGCAAUCAACUGGAAACUUGAGAUUUAAAUCUCAUUUAUUAAUUAAUACGCUACUUCUUAUGGUCAGUAACAAAAUUUUAUAUUCAAAAUUUAGGCUUUCUUGUUUUUUUUGUUUCUGGAUCUAGGUGGAUUUAUUGAUGAAUAAAUUACUUUCAUGUGAUAGGAUGAUGCAUAUCAAAAACUAGGAUGAUGUUUCGGUACUUUUUCUUUUUUCAAAAAAUGGAAAUUUAUACUUUCUGUGCUCAAAUAGGAUGCUUUGGAAAUGGCAUUUUGAUCGUAAAAAUCACUUUCGUCUCUUUAAGAUUAAACACUCGAACAAUGAAGAUAAGCACUUUUUAGCUAUUUAAAAGUGCUUUUACUGAUGCCAAAGCAACUUGUAUACACUGAUAGUUAUCUCUGAGAGUAAUUGCAUACACAGAAAGCUAAAACUGGAGAUCACCACAGAGAAGCAUAUUCCCAGCCAGUUCAAUUUCAGCCAGCCGAGCUCUGAACGAGUACAUUUAGUCGUAGAAACGGCACGCAGCCCUAGGCCACUUUUGCGCACCACACGCCCUCUCACCCUCUCUCUUUCAUCUUAACAUAACAGAACAGAAGACGCCAUGAAUUGAAAGAGCAUUAUUGCCAUCAACCGACCAAUAAUCAAAUCCAUCUGAGACUCUGUACCAAAUCCUUAUCUCUUGUUUUUUGCCUUUCCGUUUUGUGUGAAUGCGUGAUCCAAGACAUAUACGUACCUCACCAUCGUCAUGUAUAUAACAACCUCCACCUCAGCAGCUUCUUCACUCCUCAGAGCUUCUUCUAGGUCACGAUUCGUCUCUUCGCUAUCUUCAUUUAAGUCCUUACCUGCACGUUCUCUUUCUCCUUCUCCUUCUCCUUCUCCUUCAUCGUUGGUCUCUCAGCGAUCUCUCGGCUUCGCCUCGGCCGUUCGAUCCUUCCGCUGCUCCGUCCCUCGCUGGAGCCACCGCGUUGACUGGCGCUCUCCGCUUAGUCUUCGCGCU